rnacentral:rRNA from 1 species
CCUACGGGUGGCAGCAGUGGGGAAUAUUGCACAAUGGGCGCAAGCCUGAUGCAGCCAUGCCGCGUGUAUGAAGAAGGCCUUCGGGUUGUAAAGUACUUUCAGUCGUGAGGAAGGUGUUAAGGUUAAUAACCUUAGCAAUUGACGUUAGCGACAGAAGAAGCACCGGCUAACUCCGUGCCAGCAGCCGCGGUAAUACGGAGGGUGCGAGCGUUAAUCGGAAUUACUGGGCGUAAAGGGCACGCAGGCGGUUAAUUAAGUUGGAUGUGAAAUCCCCGGGCUUAACCUGGGAAUGGCAUUCAAGACUGGUUAGCUAGAGUCUUGUAGAGGGGGGUAGAAUUCCAUGUGUAGCGGUGAAAUGCGUAGAGAUGUGGAGGAAUACCGGUGGCGAAGGCGGCCCCCUGGACAAAGACUGACGCUCAUGUGCGAAAGCGUGGGGAGCAAACAGGAUUAGAUACCCGGGUAGUC